rnacentral:rRNA from 1 species
GACGAACGCUGGCGGCGUGCUUAACACAUGCAAGUCGAACGAUGAAGCCGGAGCUUGCUCCGGUGGAUUAGUGGCGAACGGGUGAGUAACACGUGAGCAAUCUGCCCUUGACUCUGGGAUAACUGCGGGAAACUGUAGCUAAUACCGGAUACGACACCUUGGGGCAUCCCAGGGUGUGGAAAGAAUUUCGGUCAAGGAUGAGCUCGCGGCCUAUCAGCUAGUUGGUGAGGUAAUGGCUCACCAAGGCGACGACGGGUAGCCGGCCUGGGAGGGUGACCGGCCACACUGGAACUGAGACACGGUCCAGACUCCUACGGGAGGCAGCAGUGGGGAAUAUUGCACAAUGGGCGCAAGCCUGAUGCAGCAACGCCGCGUGAGGGAUGAAGGCCUUCGGGUUGUAAACCUCUUUUAGCAGGGAAGAAGCGAAAGCGACGGUACCUGCAGAAAAAGCACCGGCUAACUACGUGCCAGCCGCCGCAGUAA